rnacentral:rRNA from 1 species
UACGUAGGGGGCAAGCGUUGUCCGGAAUUAUUGGGCGUAAAGUGUGCGUAGGCGGCAAAUUAAGUCUGAGGUGAAAGUGCGGGGCUCAACCCCGUGAUGCCUUGGAAACUGAUUAGCUAGAGUGUGGUAGAGGCAAGCGGAACUCCAUGUGUAGUGGUAAAAUGUGUAAAUAUAUGGAAGAACACCAGUGGCGAAGGCGGCUUGCUGGGCCAAGACUGACGCUCAGGCACGAAAGCGUGGGGAGCAAACA